GACGAACCGAGCGAACGUUGUUCGGAAUUAUUGGGCGUAAAGCGCGCGCAGGCGGUCCUUUAAGUCUGAUGUGAAAGCCCACGGCUCAACCGUGGAGGGUCAUUGGAAACUGGGGGACUUGAGUACAGAAGAGGAAAGCGGAAUUCCACGUGUAGCGGUGAAAUGCGUAGAGAUGUGGAGGAACACCAGUGGCGAAGGCGGCUUUCUGGUCUGUAACUGACGCUGAGGCGCGAAAGCGUGGGGAGCAAACAGG
rnacentral:rRNA from 1 species